GGCGGAGGAAAAGAAAUUAACGAAGAUUUCCUUAGUAACGUCGAGUGA
rnacentral:rRNA from 1 species